rnacentral:rRNA from 1 species
CAGGAUAAAACGACUGCGGCGCACAUAAGAACAUGCAAGUCGAACGAACUUAAUACCUUGCUUGCAAGGUAAGCGGUUAGUGGCGGACUGGUGAGUAACACGUAAGAAAUCUGCCUAUCAGAGGGGAAUAACAGUGAGAAAUCACUGCUAAUACCGCAUAUGCCAUAGUCAUCGCAUGAUGAUAGUGGGAAAGAAGCAAUUCGCUGAUAGAUGAGCUUGCGGCUGAUUAGCUAGUUGUGGGGUAACGGCCUACCAAGGCGACGAUCAGUAGCCGGACUGAGAGGUUGAGCGGCCACAUUGGGACUGAGAUACGGCCCAGACUCCUACGGGAGGCAGCAGUCGGGAAUAUUGCGCAAUGGAGGCAACUCUGACGCAGUGACGCCGCGUAUAGGAAGAAGGUUUUCGGAUUGUAAACUAUUGUCCUCAGGGAAGAAAAAAGACUGUACCUGAGAAGAAAGCUCCGGCUAACUACGUG